rnacentral:rRNA from 1 species
AACGAACGCUGGCGGCAGGCUUAACACAUGCAAGUCGAGCGCCCCGCAAGGGGAGCGGCAGACGGGUGAGUAACGCGUGGGAACGUCCCCUUUGCUACGGAAUAGCUCCGGGAAACUAGAAUUAAUACCGGAUGUGCCCUAAGGGGGAAAGAUUUAUCGGCAAAGGAUCGGCCCGCGUUGGAUUAGCUAGUUGGUGGGGUAACGGACUACCAAGGCGACGAUCAGUAGCUGGUCUGAGAGGAUGAUCAGCCACACUGGGACUGAGACACGGCCCAGACUCCUACGGGAGGCAGCAGUGGGGAAUAUUGGACAAUGGGCGCAAGCCUGAUCCGGCCAUGCCGCGUGAGUGAUGAAGGCCUUAGGGUUGUAAAGCUCUUUCGCCAGGGACGAUAAUGACGGUACCUGGAUAAGAAGCCCCGGCUAACUUCGUGCCAGCAGCCGCCGUAAUAC